GGGUUAUGGCUGUAUGAAGCAGAGAGGAUGCGUUGCGGACGCGGGUUCGAUUCCCGCCAGCUCCACCA
rnacentral:tRNA from 1 species